UGCCAGCUGGGCACAAUCAGGGCUUAUUGUCCUUCCCCUUUUCUCCUUUUUCCGUUUUCCUGUUCCAUUCUGUUUUCUCUUUGACUUUUUUCCCUUUAUUUUCCCCUUUUCUCUGUUCCCCUUUUCUCCUCUUCCAUUUCCCGUCUUUAUUUUUCUUGUUUUCCUGUUUCCCUUUUUCCCCCUUUUUUUCUUUCUUUUUACUCAGCCGUGCUGAAUAGGUCAGAUGAGGAGCAAAGAGAAGGGCUAUACCUAUAUUGGGGAUGGGAUGCCAGAGCAGGGGGCUCCACACUUGCCCACAGCCUGCUAUUUAUCAGAGUGAACAUCCAUAGGGAGCACUUAGCUUAGCUUACAGUUAAACUUGUCAGAGAGGGUCGGAAACAAACACACCCCAAGGCAAGGAGCGCUGCAAGCUGGUGCUCCCUCAGGACAGCCCCACAACUACUGCCCACGAGAGGAGGGACACCAAUUCUCAAUAUGCCUCUGGACCUACUGCCAAGAUCCCAGUUAUCAUGACUUAGUCCUCCUUGCUGCAGUGGAAUUGCUGAAUUCACACACCAGGAUCAUGGGAGUAUUUUUAGGAGAUAAAAAGGAAUAUAAAUCAAAAACUGAACACAAUAGAGGAGUCUAGACAAAUGCCCUAGCUGAGGAAGAGGGAAACACAUCCCCUGACUGGCUUUUAACCGUCGCCAUCACCUAAGAAAGAACAGACGAUAUUAGGCUCUGAGAAGCCAGGAGAUAGAGACAGAGAGCCCUGGUGCUGCCACCACGGAAGGAGCGGGGACAGCUGUUGUUCUGGACUUCA